rnacentral:rRNA from 1 species
UAGGGAAUCUUCCACAAUGGGCGCAAGCCUGAUGGAGCAACACCGCGUGAGUGAAGAAGGGUUUCGGCUCGUAAAGCUCUGUUGUUGGAGAAGAACGUGCGUGAGGAGUAACUGUUCACGCAGUGGACGGUACU